GCCACUGUCGCCAACAUGGCCACGUGCUAGACGUGUUUACGCGAACUGCGUCAUCUUUCGUAUUUUUCUUGCUCGUACACCAGAGUGUUAGCAACGAGAUUACGGUGCUGAGUAUCGUCAUGUCAUGCGUGUGUGACUGACAGUCAUUAACGUGCUCCUCGUGGGCAUGGCGGGUGUGGAUGCGCCUCUACCACGGUGCACCUGCAACGUCAGGAAUCUGGCUACCUGUUCCGCUGUCAAUCAGGAUUCACCCACGAGUAGAGUCGUAAGAAGUUACAGGCCACAUGGAAGCCUCGCCAGAUUACUUUACGACAAACAGAAGGCGGACGAACAGCUCGAAGCGUACGACAAAACUCAGUGGUACAAAGUAGACAAGGCGAAAAUCCGGGAGGAUUUGCUCCGUUUAUGGAUCCCCCUUGGAACAGGACUCCAACACGAUCAACCUGACAGAACCGCCGAGAUCUUCCUAACAAAAUCCAUCGAGCGAUCGGACUCCUUGCCGCUGCAAGCGUGGCAUUCCUUGGCAAGGUCCGCUUUGUCCUGGUUCAUCAGCCGAACUUCCAUAAAUGGGCUACUCGGCCGAGGUUCCAUGCAUGUCUUUUCCUGCGAACAGUUUCAAAAAUUGAUGGCAUCAAGCGGCUUUAAAGGGCCGUGGCACUCGUUAGUGGAUUUAGGAGCAGGUGACGGUGCCACUACUACUCAUGUAGCCCAUCUCUUUGAAAAAGUUUACGCCACAGACAUAUCAGCACCAAUGAGAUGGGCCCUAGCGAAAAAGAAGUUCACAGUGCUGGAUGUAGAGAAAUGGUACGAAAGCGGCCCCUUCAACGUGAUUCUCUGCCUGAAUCUGUUGGAUCGUUGCGAUCGACCUAACACUCUACUACGACGUCUGAAGUCGUCUUUAGCUCCAGGUGGUCGUCUAGUCGUAGCACUGGUUCUUCCCUUUAGUCCUUACGUGGAAGUUGGUGAAAGGGGUGACCACAAACCGUCGGAAUAUCUACCAGUAAAAGGGAACGGCCUAGAAGGUCAAAUAGCCAGCCUCGUCGACAGAGUUUUCGCGCCAUUAAGCCUAAGGUGUCUCGUAUGGAGCAAACUACCGUACCUGUGCGAGGGUGAUCUCGGCCAAGCUUAUUACUUUCUUGAUGACGUGGUGUUCGUUCUAGAGGCACAGUCAGAUAACUCACGAUACUCAGCUUCCGAAUGGAUGGAUACGGAACCGUCUGGCAGAGAAUUCCGCAAUUUGCUCCAGCAACAGACUGGUUACGAACGGAAAUGUAAUACAGGUCUAUGUGGAAUAUUUAAUGACGGACGGCUUGGAGGACGUUGAAGAUUCAUUUGGUUCCCAGCACUUCUCAUUUCUGCCAAAUCCGCUGUUGAUCCUCCUCCCAUAAUCUUGUAAAUUAUGCUUACUGCUUGAAAGUCUGUAUUAUGAGGGAAACUACUACGUAAGAGAGAAGCUGUUGUUUCAUUUUCUUGAAUAUAAGUUGGUGCCAUAUGUCCCAUUUUUUGAGUUAAUUCAAGCUGAUUUUUAUAAUAACGGCAAGCAGGAUUUGGACAAUUUUGUACCACCUCUAUUAUAAAUUCUUUUUCCAUACCAAAACAUUCUCGUCCAAUAGUGUAUGAUUCCAUAACAGCUCUAACUGUCCCUUCUAAGCCCAAAUGAAGACCAUGUGGACCAUUCAUAUGCUUUAACAUCACAGCAUUUGCAAAGUGUUCAUAGGGCAAUAUUAUUUUUCCAUUUUCUCUAAGCACUAGCCUUCCCUGAGAGUCCAAAGCUAUUCUUGAUGCCAUCAUCCUAUUUAUACAUUACGCAGGAUAUAAUAAGAGGAUUUUAAAUUCUACAUAUGUAGUUACAUUUUACAGAAAAGCGAAUAAAUAGUCUACAUAUAAACAUGUUGCACAAUGUAAUAUGUUAACAUAUGAAGAUAAUGUUAAAACUUAAUGUUCUUACUGCAAAUAGGCAGCACUUGGUAUCAUAGAUGCAUCUUUGAAUUCAGAAAAACAUUGCAGCAGUUCGAUGCUUGGAUUCCAACCUUUGUUUUGAAGAUAGGCUUGUAAUAACAUAUACAUCUUUUCAGUAACAUAACCAGCACUACUUGGUGUGCCAGGGUAACCAGAUCCUCCACCUGGUGGUCCCAUUUCGGUUUGCAUACCUUUGGCAACAAUGUUUUUCAUAGUUUCUGCCAAGUCCAUCCUGUACAAAUAAAAUUAUCUGUUUCAGUGUUUCAAGAAUUAAAAACAAAAAACAAAAAAGAAAGAAAAGAAUUCAUAACUAAAGUCUAGAAUUAAAGAAUGUGAGAGCAUGCCAUAAACAUAAAAUUAAGUAAACUGAAUUGAAUUGCCAAAGUUACGUGUAAUUUAAUUUCCAAUUCUUUUUGUAAGGUAACAUGAUUUUAAUUCACAGAAAAUCUUCGUUAAUCUCACAAGAUCAACUUACAAAAUUAUCGUACACAUUGAACAAUCGUAGAAAACUAUGUAGUUGAAAGUAUUAAGAUGCACAGUAGCCGUACCGAUGCUAAUUGACACAUGUAAUAAAAAAGGGUCAGGAAAAUGUGUGUAGGUUGCCAGGGUAGCAAGCUUGGCAUUUUAAAAAUCCAUGCAUAUUCGAAUCCUCCGGCCAUUGUUAUUUUCGGGAUGAAGACGUCUAAAGAAACGAUAAAAAAACACUGAUGCGAGCCACCGCCCCCCUUUUUAAAAGCGGGGGGAAUGAACGUUUUGGACACUCACCCCGUACCGAGCACGACUUUCACUCACUCGAAGUGUAACCGGGAACACUACAGGACCCGUUUAUCACCCUAAUCGCCGUUACUUGGCAUACCCUCAUUAAUGAUUCUCCUCACAUUUACAAAUAACAUAAAUCGUGAUAAUUAUUUCCGCAAGGAUUGUUUGCGCGGCUGGCCACCAGAGGCGCAUUGCCUUCACGAUUUUUACUGUGUCCACGUAUAAACAUGUGAACUGGAUUACAACUUCAAAGAGAAUUCAAAUUUAAAUUACACAGCAACAGUGAUACCAAUGACAAAAACA